GGAAGCAGAGAAAAAGAUAUGGCGCAAUAAAAACAAUUUGAAAAAAAUAUUUGUGUUAAGCUUCACCAAUAGGAUAGAUCAAGGGGAGGAUAAAAGAGAAGGCCUUGAAGACAAGGUGAGGAAGUUGGACAUUCCAAAUAAAGACAGAUGAAUUGUUAAGAGGUGUGGACAGGACUUGUACGACACACAGGAUACUCUACAACAACCACAAAAUGAAAAUGAAUUCCCCUCUAAAGGAAUAGCAAACAUUUUAAAUGAAGCCACAGAAGAAAUUUCUUUAAAAAUAGGCAAAAAUGGUACCUAUAUAGAUACUGGAGGCACUUAGAACACAGACAAGACCAGAAAAGAACUUCCUCUUGUUAUGUGAUAAUUAACCCACUACUGAAAACAAAGAUAUAAAAACAGUGGCUAGAGAGAAACAGACAGCCACAUAGCAGAGACAGGCCUAGGCCUAUCAGAGUAACCAGAGACUCUCAACAGAAACUAGAGAAGGCUGCAGUGGUCUGGAAGGCUCUCGGGAUGAUGCAGGAGCAGGGAGGUGCUUGGGAUGAUGCAGUGAUGAGAGCCGCAAGCAUUAUACAAUAAAAGUACAGCUUACAGGUCCAUAUACAAACCCACAGGAGUAUAAUCUGUACAUACAGACAAAUCCACCAGGAACCCCGAUUUGCAGAGCUUUGGGAACACCUGUCUUUUGAAUAGUGGCUGUCAAUUCUGUAGAAAUCUUGUGAAGCCAUGGCUUUUCUCCCUUCCAUAAUGGGAUUCAUCCCGAAAUAUCCCAGCAGCCAAUAAAUCAUUCUUUAAACCUGACUUUUCCUGUACUGAAACUGGAUGACCUUCUCCCACACGGUGGGGCCCUGGGGUGAAAACAUUCACUCAGCCAAACCUUUGUCCUCAUAGUCAAAUCUACAUAAACCUAGUCCCUCACAAUUAUCCUUAUUGACAGGACUUCCAAUAAGAAAGGGACCCCUGCUAACGGACCAUGUAAGGAACCUCAGAAGUCAGGCACUGAGCAGGAGAGACAGCAUAUUUGCCCUUACUGAUAAGCAGAUCUAGACGGCCCUAAAAUCUCCAACAGCCAACUCAGGAAAAUGCAGCCUCUUGACCUUUGCUUUACCCUAACAAGCUAUUACUAUUCUAUACUUACCUUCAUCUUUCAUUUGACACAAAUUAACUGUUCGUCCCUUUACCCCUAAAAAAAAGUACAGGAAAAAAACUUGGGCCACUAAAACAACCCCAGAGAAAGGAAGUCUUUCCCACCUGGGUGCCAGCAGGCAUCCUACCAGGGGUUGGAAGCAGCAGGCUCCAAAAAUAUUCCCUUUAAUUCAGUUAGCAAAAUGCCCAUACAAAUCAAGCACCAUCCCCGCCCAAUGCUGCAGCCUAGGCUGGUUACCAUGGUAACCACAACACUGUGUUCCCAGUUGCCUGGGAAGAAAGAGGAAGUGCUUAGAAAGUACAACAGCACUUCUGCGUUUUCCUCUACAAUUAUUGAUCACAAUAUUCUAGCUUAACUGCUCACACUUAGGAAACGUCGUUAGUACACACAACCCACUUUUUUCUCCUCUUAGAAUUCUGUACUGAUUUUACAGCAUCAUUCUUAACUAAUCCUCCUGGCAUCCACAGGGGAGUUUCACAGCCGUGCCCACUCUGAGACAGGAGUAAGACACCUGGUGCCUACUUUGUCAGUCUUUAUCCAUCUUGUUAGCCCUAAGAAACACAUGCUUGGUACCAUUGCUAUCGUCUAUGAACUGUUAACUAUGUGUAAGUAUAUAUACUGGAAACCUUGUAGAAUUGGGAGGAACAUCGAAAGGAAACAGCAAAGAACAGCAAGGAACAUUGAAAGAGAAACAUCAAGAGAGAUCUUUGGGAGAACAUCAAAAGAGCCCUGGAGAGAACGUUAGGGAGAACAUAGGAAGAAUAAAUGGGGCAUGAUGAAAAGAUUUAUGUGAGCUAAUUUAUUUCGUUUACCCUCAGACCUUUUUAGUCAGCUUUUGCCUGCUAUAGCCAACCUUCUGAAUCCGGAGUUUAGAGAGCUGGCACCCAACAUAAACCUUGAUAAUGCAGAAGCAGGGCGAUACCUGGGAUGAUGUAGGAGCAGGAAGGUACUUGGAACAGUGCCAUCCAAGUUUCAAAAGACAAGAACUGCCAAUACAGACUAUUAUAUCCAGCAAAGCUAUCAGUCAUAAUUGGAAGAAAACUCUCCAUUAAAAAUAUAGGCUGAAGGAAUUUAUGACCACUAAUCCAGGUCUACUGAAGAUACUUGAAAAAAAAUUUACUGAAGAGAAAGACAAAUACAUCCAGGGGAGAAUGAACCAGUCUUGAAUAACAGCUAAGCAAAAGAGGUACAGAAAACACCAAUAACACAAAGCCAAGAUGACAGGAAAUUCUACACACCUUUCCAUGAAGCUAAUAUUCAUGGUUUCAUUUUUGCAGUCAAAAGACAACUGUCUGGGCCUGGGAAGAUGGGGCCCUACGGAUAGAAGUGAGCCACUCCAGCUGGGCCUGUGAAGGACUCAGCCUGCCCCAUAUUUCUCCAUGUUCUCUGUGCUCUCGUAGGAAAUGAGAAGGGAAGGUCUGCUGCUCGCCCCCCCCCCUCCCAUGAGUCCCACCAUGCUCCCCCCUCCAUCCUGGACUGAACAAUAGCUCUAACAAUAGCUGAGGUUACCUUGCUUUCCUGUUGCCUACUACGCUCAUGACAAUGCAACGUAGCUAAUAUACUCGGUAAGCUGUAGUUAGAGCCUCUGCCGCGGCAGCAGCCUCUUUCAGUAGCCUGGAUUCCACAGCAUACAUCCAAGUCUUCCUGAGCCACUGCGUUAACUUCAUCAGUCCCUGCCAUUAGUUCUCAUCCACGGAAUCAGUCCUUCCAGUCAUGUGGGUAAAGAAAGGUUAGUGUGGGCCUUGAGGAACUUUGUUCCCCAGAAUACUUUCUAGUUCCAUGGCCUCGAACACAUUUUUGGUUUUCCUGCCAUGGUUCAUAUAGCCAUAUUUAUCUCUCUUUCUUUGCCCUAAGAAAACCAUCCUUAUCCUGAAAGACGUACCUCAAAUAGUACCUCUCCUACGGUAAGUCAGUCUUGAUUACCCAGUAAAAAUGACCUCUCUCCUUGUGACUUUGCCUAUUUCUAAACAGAAAUGACAGGAGGAGUGGGUUGGGGGGAGGACAGAGGGAAGGUGAGGGGAACAAGGAGGAGAGGAGGGAGGGGAAACUGCAGCCAGGGUGUAAAAUUAAUUAAUUAAGUUUAAAAAAAUACAUGUGCUCUUAUAAGCAAAACCUUAUGGCAGUGCACUAAAGCACACGUCAUUAAAAGUUAUAAAGAAAAAAAACCUCGACAAUUCAAUUAGGAUCACAUACGUUUGUAUUAGAAGAAAACUGCAAAUUAAUAUGCAAUCAAUAGCAUAGCUCGCUGAAUUUUAUUGAGAACAUAACCGCUCAAUACACCGUCCCGGCUGGUCCAGCCACAACCCAUCUGACUUCGUGAGUGGCCUUAGAUGAGAUGGGCUUUGUUUAAUUUCUCUAAAAUAGAUUCAGAUGCCCCACUGUCCAUGAAGCCCUCUGCACACAAACUUCAUGGGAGACUUUAGGAGUGGCCUGAGGGGGGGGUAUUUCUCCUCUACUGAGCAUGCCUGGAGUAGAGAGCUGGGGCAGCAGAAAUGCCUGAAGGGCAAAGCUGUGCCCCUUACAGUUUCAUGUCAAACUGAUCCCAUCGCGUUCUGUUUUCAGGUUAUUUUUCCUUUAAAAGGGGUUUACAAAAUAAUCUCUCUGCAGAUGCUGCUGCUAAAGGUCUGGUUCCCGCAAAACUCAAAGGCAUUUCUCCAGUUAAAAUAAAGUUUACUCCUCAUAAAUUACAUGAAAAGUAAACCGCUUGAAAUUGCUGAACAUCUUGGAUUUUUCUAUUAUUAGGCCACAUCUGAAUAAAAGGCUUAGUUUCUGUGAACUAAUGGAUAACGCAGUAGGAACUGUGAGCCUGCCCCAUCCCUCCCUCUCCCGCCCUGGCUCAGCAGCUGGUAAGGAGCAUAGCUGUGAAGGGCAGCUCCUGCGCCAAGGCACCACAGACUCCAGCUCCCUCCUCAGGCUAUUGUCCUGGAGGAAAAGGAAAGGGAGAAACAGUGAUUUGUCAAGGCACAGCCAUCACACCUCCUGGGUCCUAAGAACUCAACAAGACCGCCACUCCUUUCCUUUUUGAGAACCGUGUUCAUGACUCUGACAUUCUGGGAACUCACAGUCUUAAACACAGCCCUUCAGUUAGUUCUAUGCUUAACCGUUAGUAAGAAAGCAGGGAGAAUGGAAACCAGAUGGGGAACCAAUCAGCAUACUUAGGCAAGAUAAACUAUAGAUGAAUCUAUUCCUAAUGCUGUGACUUACCAGAUUCAAUGUACUUACCCAAGCAUAAGGUUAUUUUGUAGAUGGACUUAUUAUGUGAUAUUUUAUAUGUGGGUUUUUGCCUGCAUGUAACAUGUCUGCACACCAUAUGCAUGCGGUGUCCACAUAGUCCAGAAGAGGGAAUCAGAUCCUGAGUGCGAGUCUCCAUGUGGGUGCUGGGAACUGACUUCUGGAAAGCAGCAGAGCUCCUAACCAUUGAGCCAUCUCUCUAGUAACAGAAGACUUCUGAGACAUAGGGCAGAGCUGCUCUCAAACUGUGCGUUGAGGAGCCCAUAAGGAACCCGAGGCCCUGGGAAGUCAAAACUCCGAGAGACAGGACAAACAAGGAACUUGCCAGAGCAUCCUCUUCGAGGCAUUUGAGACCCUGAAGAUUCUCCUCCAACUUGCUCAGCUCCUGAAGAGCCGAACUGCGAAACCUCUCCAGCUCGUUCAGUCUGCCAAACAUGAAAGCAACAGCCUUCAGUGGGACCAAUUGGGUGUGACACAAUAGCCCCACGAGAACACAUUUACCAGAUAUUUUUAAAACAAGCUGGUACCUUUCUUCUCUUCCCCCUUUUCCAUGUUCAGUGAUCCCUGAUCCCAGAGACUUGAACUCUCCUGAGCCCCUGGCAGCACCCAGAAGGAGCCACGAUGUCAUCCCAGUAAAGGAGAGAUGGUCCCAGGAAGGAGAUGGGAUGCCGUCUCACCCCUUCUACUGUCUGCUUGCUUCCCUCUGUCUGGCCUUGCGCUGCUGUGAGAGCCGUGGUCAGGUAGGUUCCGGCACCCAUUUCCCAAACGUCACCAUUCUGUGUCUCAGCACCGUUUAAAUGGCUCAUCUAUUGGCAUGCUGUCUCUUUUCCUUUAGGCCGGAUGCUCCACAUAAACAGAUCUCCUGCAGCUUUCUGCUUAUUUGGAUGUACAAUAUUAAAAAUCUUUGUUUCAAGGGAACAUUACUAGAAAGUGAUGGAGGUAGGGCCUACUGGGAGGUCUGAGAUCAUUAUGAGCAUCCUCAAAGGUGUCUGAGGUGUGGGACUCUUUUAUUUUUAUUUCCUAACCGUCAGUUGAACAGUUUUCUCUCCUACCCAUUCUUGCCAUGAUACCUUCCUUCCUCUAACACAGGACCCAAGAAACAGAGCCAGUUCAUCACAGAUUGAAUCCUCCAAAACCAUGAGUCAAAAUAUGUGCACACAUGUGCACAUGGGGCCUAGUUUUAUUGCAACAGGGUCUCACUGCACAAUCUCAGCCUGAUCUAAAACUCAUUGCGUAUCCCAGACUGACCCAAAACCAUGGCAAUUCUCCUGCCUCAGCCUCUGAAGUGCUGGAAUUGCAGGCAUGGGCCAUCAUGCCUGGCUACCUCGGGUCUCUGUUAACAAUCAGAAAGUUACCUCAUAGCUGACCCUCACACAGUAAAAGCAUGGAGUGAGCACCUGGAAUUAGCGUUCAGUGUUUGUUAGCUGAGUGCAUAUAUGGCUUGAGGGUAAGGUCCUUAAAAUACAACAGGAACUCCACAAAUCCAGAGUCUUCCACGGCUUUGCCAUUGCAUGUAUACAAGAACUUGGAAAAAGUUGUAAAUUCUCACUCAAGUAAUGCAUUUGAAUUCCAAGAACAUUUCUAUUUCAGCUAAGCGAAUCUCCCCUCCCCUCCCCCCAUCUCAAGCACUCUCU